AUUGAAGACAUUUAGUUUAGCUCUACAUCCUCCUUUCUUUUUCUUUAGAUUAAAGACAUUUACUGUCUAAGGCUCCACCAAAUUUUCAGGUAUUGUGAUCCAAAGACAUGACUGAUUUAUGCUACAAAAGAAGCAUUCAAAAUCAUUUGUGAACAGUUAAACAGUUCACGUACGCACAAGUUUUUAGGAUUUGCAUUGAGGAGUCAUUGGAAUAGAAUAUUAGAUAAGUUCAGGUCUGAGAUUUUAC